rnacentral:sRNA from 1 species
UCAAGGGAAAGGAGGUGGUCCGAACAAUGAUCUCUCAUCGGACUAUGGAGGUGGCCGUCGCCUGACUGACUGACUGAGAUCCAUCAGCCAGUCGGCGGUCGCCGACCCCCGAAGAGGACGGACCCCGUGUUCGCGCGAACGUCGCGCGGCACGGGGUCCGUUUCGU